UGGUGGAGUGAUCUGUCUGGUUAAUUCCGUUAACGAACGAGACCUUGACCUAUUAAAUAGUCGUGUGUAAAGGUUAGCUUCGGCUGCCAAUUUACGCUAUAGACUUCUUAGAGGGACAAUUGGUGAAUAUCAGCCAAUGGAAGUUCGAGGCCAAAACA
rnacentral:rRNA from 1 species